CAUCUUCCCUGUCUUGUUCCUGAGCGCAGAGGGCUCCUCCGGCCCCGCCGAGCUGCGCCCGCUGCCUUCACACCCCGGACAUCCGCGCCACACGUGACACCUGCGGAGACAGCCCCGGUAAGUCUCCCGUUCCCGCCCCCUCCCGCCCCAGGGACCCAGACCCCAGGAGGCCUCACCCCACAGCAAGAGAAAGACCACGAGCAUGGACAUGAUGGUCGCGCUCACUCCGGUGCAGUGAGUGUCUGGGUGUUGGAUCCUGGAUCCUGUUCUAGAAGGAGACGCUGAGUUCUCCCCACUCUACCUGGAGCUGCUGAGGUCAAGUGGAGAGUGCCGGGGCUGAAGCCCAGCGAGCCCCUCCCUGUCACACCACACUGCACAUGUGACACCAAAGGUGGCGUUCACCUCUUUUCAGACUUUCUGCGGUUGCCCUCACAUGGGCUGUCUGGAGGUGCACCCUCACUCUUCCUGAGGACUGUGGUUCCUUCUCCAUCACUGGUUCAUUCUGCAUGGUGUGACCCACCACGGCUCUGGAGUCGGAUUUCCACCCAGGUCAUUCAGCUGAGACCUGCGCUUCCCAGGCCUACCCGUGACAUGUGCUCAGUUACCUGAGCUGCUGGUGGUCACUCAUGUGGCUAUAGCCUGCUGCCUGGAGGCCAGGCCUCCUGCUUCCCCCUCUCCUCACCACAGCCUGUUGGGAUGGAACAGGACAGGGGGUGAGACCGUGGUGCUUUCACACUCAGCCUCCAUGGACAUCCUGUCAUUCCCACCCGGGGAGGUCUGGUCCCCACCCUGGGUGUCCCAGCCUAGCUCCGCUACGAGUGUGAGGGCCCAGGGCAACCGCCUAGCCCUCAUCUGCCCCCUGCACUGCAUCCUCCCCACUCAUUCAUUCCACCGGCAUUUAUUGAGCAUCUACUGUGUGCCAGAUGCAAAGAAGACAGUGGGAUAACUGGG
rnacentral:antisense_RNA from 1 species